UUGUCUAAACUGGUAUUAACUAUUCCUGGUAAAUCGCGGAGAAGAGUGGAAUGAACAAAAAAGGCAGACCGAGACUAGAACCACCAGCAGCGUAACACGGAAAUCUUGGAACAAAGAGACACCGAGUGGUUCGUGUUGUCCGGUUUGGAUAUCAGCGGUAAAGCGAACGUUGUGUGUACUAUUGCAAAAUAUAUAUAGCGGAUCUCCACGGUUAGGAUACAGACCACAACGCUUUGGACGUAUCUUUAAAAAAGAGAAAAAUCAGAGACUUUUUGGAUUUGUCUGGGGGACAUUUUAAACAUUUUGUGACAAAUUGGAUUUAAAACAUUUCGGAUAUUGGAUACCUAGUUUGAUAUGUCCACAGAGAUUGUUUAAGACGUUUUCACCUCAUUUUAGGGUUUAUUUUUAAUUAAAGGCUUCUUAAAACAUGUAUGAAAAUGUGUAUAUUAUACAAUGAGUCUUAUAUUGUCUGCUCUGACAAAAAUAAAUUAUUAUUUUAGAUUUUA